UUUCCCAGGCCUGGGACACGCUCCAGAAGUUAACACCAGUAAGCAAAUCCUCGGGCAGCUCAUGAUGGACCUCUCUGCCAGUGUGACACCUCACAGCAGCGCGAGACCUUUCUCUUUGCACAGCAUGCUUUGAUCCAUGGCUGCCUGUUCUCAUAUUUGCUCAGCAAAUAGCCAUUGCCUUGUUCAGGACUCCUCUUCACAUGAACACAAUCCCAGUGGAUUUCUUCUAUGGGAAAAUAAACUCAUAAUGCCUACAUGGAGGAACUUCAGAAUGAUGACUCCGAUGAUGUGAAAACCUUCCAUAAAAACACUUCUGCAGAACCUACUUGUACCAGGUAACCUCUGUGGUGGAAGACAGUUCUUCUCAACUUUAACAAAGUCACACUGGUUGGUGUGAGCUCUACAGAUGAUGUGACUCAGCUUCUAAGCAAGAAGUAGCUCUUUUAACCAAAAGAAAUUUAACUCAGUGUAGGAUGUGAUAGCAAAGACAGUGCAACUAGCAGAGAGCAUAGACAUAGGAUUUCACAGUCACCUUAAAAAAGACACUUGCCCCCAAGUCUCCAAAAUAUAAAGAAAAAAGAGAAAACUUGCAGGAUAAAGGAAACAGUGAAAAACUAUCCCCUUAAUUGAUAUGUAAAAAAGAAGCGCUACCAUUUUGUGGGGCAUAUAGGAGGGAGGUAAAGACACCAUGAAAGCUCUGUAGUAUCAUUGUUGUGAAAGUCUCAUCCUAGUGCAGAAGCUCAUGAAAUAAGACAUCGUGGGAAAUGUGGCAGAGACUUGGUGGAACUUGAACAAGGCAGGAGAAGGGUCCCAGGCUACCCUAGCAUGAAGAUCUUUCCCAAAACACUCUGGCUAAAGAUCCCUCUUAGGUUCUUCU
rnacentral:lncRNA from 1 species